UCCCCGUUCUCCUGGGCAGUCUCUCCAGAGUUCUCGGCUUGACCCGUUAGUAACUGAAGACAGGGGUUGCGCUCGUUUCCGGUUCUUAAAACCAGCAUGUCAAGCCUGGGUAAGGUUCUUCGCGUUGCGUCGAAUUAAACCACAUGCACCACCGCUUGUGCGGGCCCCCGUCAAUUCCUUUGAGUUUCAACCUUGCGGCCGUACUCCCCAGGCGGGAUACUUACUCCGUUAGGUGCGGCACCGGCGGUAACCCGCCGACACUUAGUAUCCAUCGUUUAGGGCGUGGACUAC
rnacentral:misc_RNA from 1 species